UCCCUUCAAACACUGCAUGUGCUUUUUAUUCUCACAUUCUUUGAGUCUUUGUGGCUAUUAAGAUGCAUUACAUUUAAAGUUCAGUGGGGGCAUAGAUGGGGGUUGGGAGAUUCUCAAAGUUUACUUGUAAUUAUGGAAAUAGCACCAUUUCCAUUCGAAAAGCUGUAAGAUGUUAUGAAGGAGCUUAUAAGAACUAUCAGGGAGAACAAUUUGGGCAGAAUUAGUUCACUGUAAGCUUAUUUCCAUAUUAACCAACAUGUUUUAUGAAGUUCCGGAUGAAGUUAUUAAGCUUGAACUCUCCACACCAAAGUUCCUCAUGGAUCAACUUGAUCUGAUUGGAGGAGUUCAGUUUAUUUUUUUGGAGGUAUUUGAUUCUUCUGACAUUAGUAUGGAGAGAAGUCCAAUCUAAUAAAUGUCCUUGCAUUGAUACGUAGAUUCGAACUUUUGAUUUUCUCUUCUGCCUUCCUAUGAUUGAUUCAGUAUUCCCUUACAAAUUCAAGAGAAGAGAAGAAAAAUCUGUAUGCAGUGUUUUUUUAUUACAUUUUGCGUCAAAUAAAAGUAUCGUGCAUAGUCUCAGGAGUCAGUGAAUACAGUGAUGAGCAGAUCCAACCUCUGGCUGAUCUGCUUGCUCAAAUAAAUGCACCUGAGGCAUUUUAUAUUUCUGUUAAACUUGGAGUAGAGGGCAUUGGAGAGAUUUUGAGAAGAUCAAUUGCAUUUGCUCUAUCCAAAUAUCCCAACAGUGAAAGACUAAAUACGAUGCUUCUAGUUUUUCCUUAUCUAUAUACUUUAAAGUUUUAAGGCUAUACAUUUUUCCUUUGAUCUUAUAUGCAUUUCUUCAUAUAUAUGGCUUGUAAUAGAUCUUCUUUGAGCUGUAUGAUUACUGAUUUUUUUUUUCUGUUCCGGUCUAACAUUUGCAGCUAUUGAAAAUUGUAGCAGAGAAAUUUAUGUUUGUCUAGAUAUAGAAGCAAUAUAAUUGAACAGCUUUACGAAGCCAAAAUUUUUUAA